GAGCUGAAGAAGUCCAAGCCACUGGGUCUGGACUCUCCAGUUCUAAAGAUGGCAGGCUAGCAGCAGGAGGAGGAGGACGACGACGACGACGACGAGGUGCUAGAUCCUUCUGGGCAGAAGGAAAAUCAUUCUACUUCUUGUAUUCAAGCCCCUUUCCUCAUCCACCCUGGGUUCUGAUUGCCUUCCCUUUAGCUGUCAUGUCUUCCUGGAUGUCAAACUGGCUCCUCUGACUCUGAGUGCAAUCAAGACAAUGACAACCAGGUUUCCAAACUGCAAAUUGCCCCAAGUUUUAUUUGUAGUCCAUACAAAAGGGAAAAAAAUUUAAGGUUUUCUAACACCACCUACUUGGGGAGCUGGGGAAGUAGAACUGUGCUGCUCACCAUCAGCUAGAACAUCAGUGGUCAGGAGGGAUUCGGACACAUACCACCUGACUGUCCCAAUAGGAACUCAGUCUCAACACAGUUUACAGAGGGACAGUUAGGGCCUCCUGGACUGUUGGCACAGCUCGGUACAUGGGAAACGGUUAAGCAACCCUUUCCUGGCCUCCUUCACAUCUAAAAAGAAAAAGGCGCCGCCGCAGGUUGCUUCCCCAUCCAGACGACCUUAAAUAUCGCGCACAAAAAUAAAAGGGAGCCAAGAAAAAAAAAAAAAAACAUAAAAGAAAUUCCCAUUCUGGGGAGAUGGGAGGCAGGGUAGAGGGGAAACCGCAGAUCUAGAGCCAGUAGCAAGAUUUGCUGCUGAGGCGAAGGAACAAAGUAGGUUACUGCCGAACACUCAAAAGAAUCAUGUCCUGGGGAAGGCCCACAUCAGAGGGGAUGAAAAACCGCAACUGGGAGAAGUAUGGGCCAGAGUAGUUACAGUCUGGGUCUGCACUCUACGCACUUCUCUCGCUCCCUCCC